GUUCUUUUUUGGACUCAUGCCUUGUUAUCUAAGUCAAAAAGCUCAGGUGGUUACUCUGUCUUGUGAGCCGAUGUUUACUUUGCUCAAAUUCUCAGCGUGAUUGGCCUACAAUAUAGGCAAAUAAUACAUCACCGUACUAUACUGUGUUUUUAAUAAUAUAGGCUUGUAUACAAUUUCCUUCCCACCACACACUGAAGGCUUUAAAACUCAUGACUGAAGGAACAUUUUGAGAGCAGUACGGUUCUAUAGUUGUGCUCUGUGUUGAACAUCAAAAUGACCACUUCUUAACUUCAAAAUUCAGUUACGGAGAUAUUGUUUUCUACUAUAUUUGUGACAGUUUGUGUUAUAGUGAUUUUUCUUAGUUGGUGUGGGCAAAUGUAACAAACUGAGGGUGAGGUUGAAGUGCAUAUUAAGGGCAUGUUGACCCAGUUAGGUCAACUUGAACCAAUUUAGCAUUUAGUAAAUGAAAGACACGCCACUUAACUUGCCAUAAGCAACAUCUUAGUCAUGGUGUCACUACCUUGUAAAACCAUAUAAUGCAGUAAGUUUGGGAUGUCUUUAAUUUUUACAUAUUUAAGUGAGCGGAC